UUUUUGUUUAGGAUCUUUUUUAUUUUUAUACACAUGACAAGAUUUUAUACCAAGAAAAGUCAGUUAAGUUGUACAAAUUUACAUUCAUGAGGAACAUUAUAAAAUUCAACUAGAAAACCCACUUCUUUCUGUGACCUACAAUCCCAACAUUUUUCAGGGCCGGGGGGAAGUGAUGAGGGGAGCAUCCAAAACAAGUCUCUCCCAAAAGAAAUGACUUAAAUUUCACUUUCCCUCUCCACACAGGAUGCAAAUGAUGAGAGCGUAAUUUAUCAUUCGUUUUUUCAGCUGUGGAUUUCUUUGCUAUUUCUUGUUCUUCGUCAUCUGACAAAUGGAAAACUUCAAUUUGCAAAUAAGAAAAAUAAUCUUUAGAUAGCUUAACCAAGUUAAAAUGGUUGUGUGAUAUAAUUCAGUUUCUUUUGGUUUUGUAUUUCAGGAGAAAUGGAAGAUUUAGGGAAGCAAAUACUAUUUUGCCACCAAUACCUGGAAAUCACAGGACCAGGUGACAGAGUUUUAAUUAGGAAUACACAUCGUAGUUCAGAGAAUACUGGCACUUCAUCCAACACUGCUGAAAAGACAAAGCACCUCAUUGUAUGACCUGAUGUCUUCAUAGCUGGGAACCAACGGUAGAAAGAAUCUUACAUUUUCUACUGAAUGGGACUGGUGUUC
rnacentral:lncRNA from 1 species